rnacentral:lncRNA from 1 species
GGACAAAUAGUUACGACCUAAACCGUUUUCAACACGUCAACACACAACCGAUGCAAACAACACACUAAACAGUUUUUAUUAUGCAUGAGAGUUGGAAAUAUUAAUCUACGCGAAAUUCUACACGUUUGACUUAUCUACGAAUUUUGCAUAAGAGCCAGCGUUUAAAUGUUAUAAACGUUUAAAAAUCAAUGGUCUUUUGAAAUUCUUAAAAAAACCCUAGCGCCAACAACAACAACAAAAAAAAAC